GGGAAUAUUGCACAAUGGGCGAAAGCCUGAUCCAGCCAUGCCGCGUGAGUGAAGAAGGCCUUCGGGUUGUAAAGCUCUUUUAGUCGGAAAGAAAGAGUUGCAAUGAAUAAUUGUGAUUUAUGACGGUACCGACAGAAAAAGCACCGGCUAACUACGUGCCAGCAGCCGCGGUAAUACGUAGGGUGCGAGCGUUAAUCGGAAUUACUGGGCGUAAAGGGUGCGCAGGCGGUCUUGCAAGUCAGAUGUGAAAGCCCCGGGCUUAACCUGGGAAUUGCGUUUGAAACUACAAGGCUAGAGUGCAGCAGAGGGGAGUUGAAUUCCAUGUGUAGCAGUGAAAUGCGUAGAGAUGUGGAAGAACACCGAUGGCGAAGGCAGCUCCCUGGGUUGACACUGACGCUCAUGCACGAAAGCGUGGGGAGCAAACA
rnacentral:rRNA from 1 species